UACGUAGGGUGCAAGCGUUGUCCGGAAUUAUUGGGCGUAAAGAGCUCGUAGGCGGUCUGUCACGUCGGCUGUGAAAACCCGAGGCUCAACCUCGGGCCUGCAGUCGAUACGGGCAGACUAGAGUUCGGUAGGGGAGACUGGAAUUCCUGGUGUAGCGGUGAAAUGCGUAGAUAUCUGGAGGAACACCGGUGGCGAAGGCGGCGAUCCUCGGACCAACACUGACGCUGAGGAGCGAAAGCCAGGGAGCAAACGGG
rnacentral:rRNA from 1 species